rnacentral:lncRNA from 10 species
GCAGAAAAGGUGGGGGUUUGCAAAGGGAGUAACUUCUGGUUCCUUUGUUACUUAGGUAUGGAAAGUUAGGGUUUUCCUUUCACUUUAGUUCUAGGAAGUCAGCGUGAAACGCCUGAAGUUUUCUGCCUCCAGACUCUACUCUCCUGCCUCAAUUCUACUCUCUACUUUUAUAAGCUCGACUCACAUUUGAUGACAUAGAAGACUUAAUUUCCUCCUCAUGAUUAAUCUCUCAGUUGGAGAGUAUACACACUCUUACACAGAAUCCAGGACGAAAGCCCUCAUCAGAUGCUUACAUCAUGAUCUUGGACUUCCCAGCCUCCAGACUGAUGCUAUGGAAGAUCAGAAAAUAUAAAUUUAUGAACUGCUAUAAACUGUUAUUUUCUUCGUGAAGAUCAGCCUCCAGGUUCAUCACAUGACUCAGCUAAGAGAAAAUAUCCAGUGGCUCAUCGUUACCUGUGGGAGGAGGUCUGAACUCCAUGGCUUUGCAUUCAUGUUCUUGUUUGUCUCACUUCAACCUUCAUUCCCUCCAAGUCCUCGUUGUCCUCCCAGGGUUCCUCUGCUACAGCCGGGGGAGUCUGAUCCCUGCUUCCUAAAUUUCUCUGAAGCUUAUCUACACCUAUGUUUUUGCUCCACUCUUCUUUCUCCUUUAUACACCAAUUAUUCUCCUGUUUUAUCCAAAUUAUUCCCUUCUGCAAGACUCACAUCAAGUACGAUUUCUUUCUAGAUGGCUCUAACUCAGUUAUUGUUAUCUAAUUGCACACAUAUCUCUGAUUAUUGGCAUUAGUCAUUUGGAAAUUUAUUGUAUGCUGCUUUGUUUUAUUAUUUCUCUUUUUCACCUGCCUUGUGCUUACUUCCCCAAUUGGACUACAGAUUCUUUAAGGAUUAG